rnacentral:pre_miRNA from 1 species
GUGACAGAAGAGAGUGAGCACACAUGAUGUUUUCUCACAUAACGUAUAUGGAUGUUUGAAGUUAUGCGUGCUCACCCUCUAUCUGUCAC